CGCGUUUAGGAGAAGUAGGCGGUGCACGGCAAUGAGCAAACCCAUUUGGUUUGUGAAAGGUAGGCAGAUGUAGGCAAGUGCACGUGCAUCACAUGACGAUGAAAUUGAUUCAGCGCGUAGCUGGACACGCCUUGCUCAUACGACUCUCACGUUCAUAUAAGAAGUUG